AGAAACCGUAAACACCUAUCAAAUUUGAACUGGACUUCAUCCGCAAUGAAGAAGUAAUCAAACCCACUAGCAUACGGUGUUGCAAUUACCAAAACACCCCUUGAUCACAGAAAAGAUUAAAUAAUGAAUUCUCUUAAUUCUCGGAUUAGAUAGCAGUUUUGGUCAAAAAGCAUACAUAUAAG